CCUGUACUGACGUCACAGCGCCGCGCCGCGCCGGUCCCGGAAGUCGGGACCCGUAGAACGCUUUGCAAGGAUCUCCCGUGUGAGAGUUUGGGUGGCAGCUUGAUGGCUCAAAGAAGAGCUCCCUCCUGAGUGAAGCCAGGAUAGUUCCCUCCUGAAGAGAAGAACUCACAGGGCAGGGGCCCUGUUUGUGGAAAACAGCCCCAGAACUUCAUGGGAGAGGAACAAAAACUGGUUCUGGCUUGUGGACAACCCUAGAAUUGUCAUGGCCCAGGCGCAUCCACCGACCCUCCCAAUGGCCCCAGGAAACACGCAGGAACUGAGCAUCUCAGUCAGCAGGUCAGCCCCAGAAUUGAUACCAU